CCCGCGCCGCCAUCCUCGCCGCGCUUCACCUCCCGGGACCCGGAGCCCGGCCGCGCGCGCACGCGCGCGCGCGUGCCCCGCCGGCAGGCCUUGCCAGGGAGGCAUGAUGAUCCCCAGUUCUCCGGGAGGAAGCAGGGUGAGUUGGCCUGAAGACCCCGCAGCCAAGAAGGGCAACACUGAGGCUCUCAGAUUCCCAAAGCCGUUCUCUGCGCUGCACCCACUGUCUUCCGGAAGCCGUUGUGCCCUAGGUUUGUAGUCGUCUUUGUCACCAAUUACAGGAGGGGGUGAACUCUGCAGGUACCCUGUGUACCGGUGCCUUUAAGAUGUUCAUCUGCUGCGGUGAGGGCCCAGCCUAGUGAGAGGUCAGGAAGAGGCGGGUAAGUGCACUGGGGCCCAGCCUGUGUGAAGGGUCCAGGAAGUGUGCCCUGGAUUGUAACCGGAUAGGCACAUGGAUGCCCCUGCCUGAUGAGGGAGGGAGAAGCUUAAUUUCAAUCAGGCUGGGAAAGGCUUCUUGGAGGAGGUGGCCCCUGGGCUGGGCAGAGACACCUCACUAGGCUUCAGAGAGGCCCAGAUGGUCUGAGCGUGCCCCUCAGGGGUCAUCCAGCUUUUGGAUGGUGAGGAGGGGUGUCUGGGUAUCACCCUCAAAGCCUAAAGGCCCCAGACCGGAGAUCUCUUGGAGCUGGGCUCUUCCCUGGGUGGGGAGAUUCCCGUGGGUUCUCUUGUCUAGAGAAACAAGAGUUGUAUGGACAAAGCAGCCUCAGAGCAGGUAUCUGUGAGGAAUUUUUAGUGUUCUUGUUUGCAAGUUUUAUUGAUUCAUUUUAAACUAAAUAACAGAUGGGUUUAAACUAAAAAAGGCUCACAAGGGCUCAUCGUAAAAGUGACUUCGGCUUCCCUGGUGGCGCAGUGGUUGAGAGUCCGCCUGCCGAUGCAGGGGACGCGGGUUCGUGCCCCGGUCCGGGAGGAUCCCACGUGCCGCGGAGCGGCUGGGCCCGUGAGCCGUGGCCGCUGAGCCUGCGCGUCCGGAGCCUGUGCUCCGCAACGGGAGAGGCCACAGCAGUGAGAGGCCCGCGUACCGCAAAAAAAAAAAAAAGUGACUCCCCCUUACUGCCCCUCACCCAGUACCCUUCCCGGAGGCAACCAGUAUUUUCUGCUUGUGUAUACUUCCAGACAGAUUUUAUUCAUAUACAAGCAAAUACCUGGUGUGUAUACAGUUAAAAUUCAUGAUAUAACUUAUCAUGUUCCAAUUAUGCCCACUUAAAUUGGCAAACCAGGAGCCUUGCCCCGCAGGUAAAUAAAUACACAGGACUAGGCGGGGUAAUCAGGGAUCUUAAGCCCAUCUGGCCUGUUAGGAUCAUGAGUCCCUAUGGCCCCAUCUUUCCAGAUCUUCUGAUUAUUGAGAAGAAAUCAGUAAUCUGGAUUUGUAGAUGAAACAGCUCAAUUGUAAAUGAAUGCAAUUGAUUUGUUAAAAACAAACAGCCAUUCAUUCCAGGAAAAUGAAAACGUUUUGUUUACACAAAAGCCCAUACAUAAAAUGUUCAAAGCAGCUUUAUUCAUAAUAACCCCAAACUGAAAACAUCGCAGCGGUCCUUCCACAGGUGAUGAUGGUUAAACAGACUGGG